rnacentral:rRNA from 1 species
UACGGGGGAUGCGAGCGUUAUCCGGAUUUAUUGGGUUUAAAGGGUGCGUAGGCGGCGCUCCAGGUCAGCGGUGAAAUACCGGGGCUCAACCCCGGGGCUGCCGUUGAAACUGGCUGUCUUGAGAUGUCGAGAGGUAUGCGGAAUGCGCAGUGUAGCGGUGAAAUGCUUAGAUAUUGCGCAGAACUCCGAUUGCGAAGGCAGCGUACCGGCUCCACACUGACGCUGAGGCACGAAAGCGUGGGUAUCGAACAGG